rnacentral:rRNA from 1 species
AUUGAACGCUGGCGGCAGGCUUAACACAUGCAAGUCGAACGAGUGGCGGACGGGUGAGUAAUGUCUGGGAAUCUGGCUGAUGGAGGGGGAUAACUACGGGAAACGGUAGCUAAUACCGCGUACCAUAGGAUGAGCCCAAAUGGGAUUAGGUAGUUGGUGGGGUAAAGGCUCACCAAGUCGACGAUCCCUAGCUGGUCUGAGAGGAUGACCAGCCACACUGGGACUGAGACACGGCCCAGACUCCUACGGGAGGCAGCAGUGGGGAAUAUUGCGCAAUGGGCGCAACCCUGACGCAGCCAUGCCGCGUGAAUGAAGAAGGCCUUCGGGUUGUAAAGUUCUUUCGGUGGCGAGGCGUUACCCGCAGAAGAAGCACCGGCUAACUCCGUGCCAGCAGCCGCGGUAAUAC